GAUGAAGAACGCAGCGAAAUGCGAUACGUAAUGUGAAUUGCAAAUUCAGUGAAUCAUCGAGUCUUUGAACGCACAUUGCGCCCCCUGGUAUUCCGGGGGGCAUGCCUGUCCGAGCGUCAUUGCUGCCCUCAAGCACGGCUUGUGUGUUGGGCCCCGUCCUCCGAUUCCGGGGGACGGGCCCGAAAGGCAGCGGCGGCACCGCGUCCGGUCCUCGAGCGUAUGGGGCUUUGUCACCCGCUCUGUAGGCCCGGCCGGCGCUUGCCGAUCAACCCAAAUUUUUAUCCAGGUUGACCUCGGAUCAGGAAGGGAUACCCGCUGAACUUAAGCAUAUCAAUAAGCGGAGGA
rnacentral:misc_RNA from 1 species